UACGUAGGGUGCGAGCGUUGUCCGGAAUUAUUGGGCGUAAAGAGCUUGUAGGCGGUUUGUCGCGUCUGCCGUGAAAAUUCGAGGCUCAACCUCGAACUUGCGGUGGGUACGGGCAGACUAGAGUGUGGUAGGGGAGACUGGAAUUCCUGGUGUAGGCGGUGAAAUGCGCAGAUAUCAGGAGGAACACCGAUGGCGAAGGCGGGUCUCUGGGCCGAUACUGACGCUGAGGAGCGAAAGCGUGGGGAGCGAACAGG
rnacentral:rRNA from 1 species